rnacentral:rRNA from 1 species
AUGCUGGCCGAGAUCUUGCGGAUGUUGGUGAAGGGCGGGAAGAUGAGCCCCUUGUCGAAGUUCUCCUGGGUCGCCUCCUCCGCCAAGCAUGUCGUCGUGGACGCGGAUGGCGCCGGAGAUGACGACGCCGAGGCCGAAGCCGGGGAACACGUAGGCGUUGUUGGACUGCCCGGGCACGUACGUCUUCCCCUCGUACUCCACGGGGUCGAACGGGCUGCCGCUCGCGAACACCGCCGUGCCCUUGCUCCAGGUGUAGGCCUCCUCGGCCGUGCACUCCGAGUGCGACGUUGGGUUCGACAGCGAGAAGAUGACGGGUUUCUCUCGUUGAAGGAGGCCAUGGCCUCGAUCACUUCUUGGGUGAAGGUCUUCCCGACGCCGGAGGUUCCGAUCAGCACGGUUGGCUUGAUGGACUGGACGGCCUCCAGCAGGGUCUUCAGUUCUUCGUGCUCAUGA